GACACAGUUCACUCCUGGCACCCGUGUGUUAUCUCCAUUUUAGAGCCCAGGACAUGGAGGCGGAUCUCCACCUGGAGGCUGCUUUUACGUAGGAAGAAGGCCCUCUGUCAGGAGCUCUUCCCUUCAAUCAGGGUUGGGGACUUCCCUGGUGGCACAGCGGUUAAGAAUCCGCCCGCCAAGGCAGGGGACAUGGGUUCGAGCCCUGAUCCAGGAAGAUCCCACAUGCCGCGGAGCAACGAAGCCUGUGCGCCACAACUACUGAGCCAGUGCUCUAGAGCCCACGAGCCACAACUACUGAGCCCACGUGCCACAACUACUGAAGCCCACACGCCUAGAGCCCAUGCUUUGCAACAAGAGAAGCCACCACAAUGAGAAGCCCACGCACCACAAGGAAGAGUAGCCCCGCUCGCUGCAACUAGAGAAAGCCCGCACGCAGCAACAAAGACCCAAAGCAGCCAAAAACAAAAUAAAUUAAGAAAACAAAACAUUUCUUACAGGGUUGGUCUGCUGGCAAUAAAUUCCUUGGUGUCAUUUU